GACGUAGGGGGCGAGCGUUGUCCGGAUUUAUUGGGCGUAAAGAGCUCGUAGGCGGCUUGGCAAGUCGGAUGUGAAACCUCCAGGCUUAACCUGGAGAUGCCAUUCGAUACUGCUAUGGCUUGAGUCCGAUAGGGGCGCAUGGAAUUCCCGGUGUAGCGGUGAAAUGCUUAGAUAUCGGGAGGAACACCAGUGGCGAAGGCGGUGCGCUGGGCCGGAACUGACACUGAGGUGCGAAAGCGUGGGGAGCAAACAGG
rnacentral:misc_RNA from 1 species